ACUCUUGACAGUGGGAUGACGAU
rnacentral:piRNA from 1 species